rnacentral:rRNA from 1 species
GACGAAGGAUGCAAGCGUUAUCCGGAUUCAUUGGGUUUAAAGGGAGCGUAGGUGGUCUUAUAAGUCAGUGGUGAAAUCUUUGGGCUUAACCCAAAAAUUGCCAUUGAUACUGUAGGACUUGAGUAUAGUUGCCGUUGGCGGAAUAUGACAUGUAGUGGUGAAAUACAUAGAGAUGUCAUAGAACACCGAUUGCGAAGGCAGCUGACGAAACUAUAACUGACACUGAGGCUCGAAAGUGUGGGGAUCAAACAGG